GAUGAACGCUGGCGGCGUGCCUAAUACAUGCAAGUCGAGCGAACAGACGAGGAGCUUGCUCCUCUGACGUUAGCGGCGGACGGGUGAGUAACACGUGGAUAACCUACCUAUAAGACUGGGAUAACUUCGGGAAACCGGAGAUAAUACCGGAUAAUAUAUUGAACCGCAGGGUUCAAUAGUGAAAGACGGUUUUGCUGUCACUUAUAGAUGGAUCCGCGCCGCAUUAGCUAGUUGGUAAGGUAACGGCUUACCAAGGCAACGAUGCGUAGCCGACCUGAGAGGGUGAUCGGCCACACUGGAACUGAGACACGGUCCAGACUCCUACGGGAGGCAGCAGUAGGGAAUCGUCCGCAAUGGGCGAAAGCUUGACGGAGCAACGCCGCGUGAGUGAUGAAGGUCUUCGGAUCGUAAAACUCUGUUAUUAGGGAAGAACAAAUGUGUAAGUAACUAUGCACGUCUUGACGGUACCUAAUCAGAAAGCCACGGCUAACUACGUG
rnacentral:rRNA from 1 species